CGUGACAGUGCCUUGCAUGAAAUGGGCAUCGUUUUCCUCUACUUUUAUAAGCUGACAUUUCUACAUGUCUCAAAGUUAUGCAAAGUCUCAGAACUGACUCUGAAUGCAUGCAGUUCCAGAUUGGUAAACUGAAAUGUUUUUUAUAAUGGCUGCACAUAUUUGGUGAUGUCCCUUAUGACAAUUGUUUAUUAUUAUUAUUAUUAUUAUUGGAAUAGAUAAAUGUAAUGUUUUAUAACUCUAUAUGUGAAAUACUUGCUAGCUCUUAAAAAAACCAUACAGUAAAAUGUUUUCCAUGGAUUUACUCAUAGAUUUUAGAAAACAUUACAUUUCUCUAUGAGCCUCUGAAGUGAAUAUACCCUUUAUCUUUAUAGCCCCCUAAAGCACAAUAUAGGUCCAUAUCUCAUUAAUGUUGCAGUAGACUGGGUUUUAUAUCAAACCAUUAUGUGUGCAUAUAGUAUGGGAUGUCCCUUAUGAGAACUGACCAUUGUUUUUUUCUACUUAUUAGAAAUGGGAUCUUUAAAGCCCGUUAAAGUGUAAUAAUGUCCCAUAUCUCAAAAGUCCUGCAGUAAAAUGGUUUGAUAUGAGGUGUGCAUAUAGUAUGGGACGUCCCUGAUAAGAACUGACCAUUGUUUUUUUCUACUUAUUAGAAAUUACGUCUUUAUAGCCCUCCAAAUCACCAUUUGGACCCAUAUCUCGAAAAUGCUGCAGUAAAAUGGUUUGAUAUGAGGUGUGCAUAUAGUAUGGGAGGUCCCUGAUAAGAAUUGACUAUUCUUUUUUUCUACUUAUUACAAAUGGGAUCUUUAUAGCCAUUUAAAGUGUAAUAAUGUCCCGUAUCUUGAAAAUGCUGCAGUAAAAUGGUUUGAUAUGAGGUGUGCAUAUAGUAUGGGACGUCCCUGAUAAGAACUGACUAUUGUUUUUUUCUACUUAUUAGAAAUGGUGUCUUUAUAGCCCUCUAAAUCAUUGUAUUGUCCCAUAUCUGAAAAAUGCUGCAGUAAAAUGAGAUGUGCAUAUAGUAUGGGACAUCCCAGAUAAGAACUGACUGUUGUUUUUUUCUACUUAUUAGAAAUGGGAUCUUUACAGCCAUUUAAAGUGUAAUAAUGUCCCAUAUCUCGAAAAUGCUGCAGUAAAAUGGUUUGAUAUGAGGUGUGCAUAUAGUAUGGGACAUCCCUGAUAAGAACUGACCAUUGUUUUUUUCUACUUAUUAGAAAUGGGAUCUUUACAGCCAUUUAAAGUGUAAUAAUGUCCCGUAUCUUGAAAAUGCUGCAGUAAAAUGGUUUGAUAUGAGGUGUGCAUAUAGUAUGGGACAUCCCUGAUAAGAACUGACCAUUGUUUUUUUCUACUUAUUAGAAAUGGGAUCUUUACAGCCAUUUAAAGUAUAACAAUGUCCCGUAUCUUGAAAAUGCUGCAGUAAAAUGGUUUGAUAUGAGGUGUGCAUAUAGUAUGGGACGUCCCUGAUAAGAACUGACUAUUGUUUUUUUCUACUUAUUAGAAAUGGUGUCUUUAUAGCCCUCUAAAUCAUUGUAUUGUCCCAUAUCUGAAAAAUGCUGCAGUAAAAUGGUUUGAAAUGAGGUGUGCAUAUAGUAUGGGACAUCCCAGAUAAGAACUGACUGUUGUUUUUUUCUACUUAUUAGAAAUGGGAUCUUUACAGCCAUUUAAAGUGUAAUAAUGUCCCAUAUCUCGAAAAUGCUGCAGUAAAAUGGUUUGAUAAGAGGUGUGCACAUAGUAUGGGAUGUCCAUGAUAAGAACUGACUUUUUUUUUUUUUCUACUUAUUAGAAAUUGGAUCUUUACAGCCCUUUAUAGUGUAAUAAUGUCCCGUAUCUUAAAAAUGCUGCAGUAAAAUGGUUUGAUAUGAGGUGUGCAAAUAGUAUGGGACAUCCCUUAUAGGAACAGACCAUUGUUUUUUUCUACUUAUUAGAAAUGGGAUCUUUACAGCCAUUUAAAGUGUAAUAAUGUCCCAUAUCUCGAAAAUGCUGCAGUAAAAUGGUUUGAUAUGAGGUGUGCAUAUAGUAUGGCAUGUCCUUUAUAAGAACUGACCAUUGUUUUUUUCUACUUAUUAGAAAUUAUGUCUUUAUAGCCCUCCAAAUCACCAUUUGGACCCAUAUCUCAAAAAUGCUGCAGUAAAAUGGUUUGAUAUGAGGUGUGCAUAUAGUAUGGCAUAUCCUUUAUAAGAACUGACCAUUGUUUUUUUCUACUUAUUAGAAAUGGGGUCUUUAUAGCCCUUUAAAGUGUAAUAAUGUCCCAUAUCUCAAAAAUGCUGCAGUAAAAGGGUUUGAUAUGAGGUGUGCAUAUAGUAUGGGAUGUCCUUUAUAAGAACUGACCAUUGUUUUUUUCUACUUAUUAGAAAUGAUGUCUUUAUAGCCCUCCAAAUCACCAUUUGGACCCAUAUCUCAAAAAUG